UAGUAACGGCGAGUGAAGCGGCAACAGCUCAAAUUUGAAAUCUGGCUCUUUUAGAGUCCGAGUUGUAAUUUGCAGAGGGCGCUUUGGCUUUGGCAGCGGUCCAAGUUCCUUGGAACAGGACGUCACAGAGGGUGAGAAUCCCGUACGUGGUCGCUGGCUAUUGCCGUGUAAAGCCCCUUCGACGAGUCGAGUUGUUUGGGAAUGCAGCUCUAAAUGGGAGGUACAUUUCUUCUAAAGCUAAAUAUUGGCCAGAGACCGAUAGCGCACAAGUAGAGUGAUCGAAAGAUGAAAAGCACUUUGGAAAGAGAGUCAAACAGCACGUGAAAUUGUUAAAAGGGAAGCGCUUGCAGCCAGACUUGCUUGCAGUUGCUCAUCCGGGCUUUUGCCCGGUGCACUCUUCUGUAGGCAGGCCAGCAUCAGUUUGGGCGGUAGGAUAAAGGUCUCUGUCACGUACCUCCUCUCGGGGAGGCCUUAUAGGGGAGACGACAUACUACCAGCCUGGACUGAGGUCCGCGCAUCUGCUAGGAUGCUGGCGUAAUGGCUGUAAGCGGCCCGUCUUGAAACACGGACCAAGGAGUCUAACAUCUAUGCGAGUGUUUGGGUGUCAAGCCCGAGCGCGUAAUGAAAGUGAACGGAGGUGGGAACCCGCAAGGGUGCACCAUCGACCGAUCCUGAUGUCUUCGGAAGGAUUUGAGUAAGAGCAUGGCUGUUGGGACCCGAAAGAUGGUGAACUAUGCUUGAAUAGGGUGAAGCCAGAGGAAACUCUGGUGGAGGCUCGCAGCGGUUCUGACGUGCAAAUCGAUCGUCAAAUUUGGGCAUAGGGGCGAAAGACUAAUCGAACUAUCUAGUAGCUGGUUCCUGCCGAAGUUUCCCUCAGGAUAGCAGUAACGUAUUCAGUUUUAUGAGGUAAAGCGAAUGAUUAGAGGCCUGGGGGUUGAAACAACCUUCACCUAUUCUCAAACUUUAAAUAUGUAAGAAGUCC
rnacentral:rRNA from 1 species